UUUUGCCAGAUCAUGAUGAAAGAUCCCCGAAGGGAGACCCUUACUCAAGUCUCGGGAAAUCAUGUACCCCAGACACAGAGAGACCA
rnacentral:pre_miRNA from 14 species